GCAAUCCCAGGAUUCCUGAAUCUCAGAAUUCCUGGGACCACUUCUGGGAUCAGUCAAGAACCAAUCAGAGCAGGGAAUGCAUCUGAGACAAAACAAAUUUCUGGUGUAGUCAUGGAGUAUAGCGUGUGUACUUGACAACUUACUAGCUGUAUGAUCUUUGGAAUGUUGGGUGAUCUGUCCAGGAGUGUUUUCAUUUGUCAAGUGGAGGUGAUAUUAUUUCUCUGCCCUACCACACUCAGCCAAGUGGCCGUGAAUCAUAUAUCUCUCCUCCCACUGCUUGCAGCUGCAGUUCUUUGGAACUUGGAGGACACCAGACAAGCAGCUUAUAAAUGACAGGCAGUGAAGGGCUCUGCUCAGAUAGAAUAACUGCUUGAAUCCAGUCUUUCAUCUGAAAAUUAAAAUGGACAACUCCCAGAAGCUCCUGGGGUUUGGGAAAUUUUGGGGACCAUGGAUAAGCUGAUGAGGCAGAGAUGAGUCAUUCAUAAGAAGAGAAGAAUGGAGAAGAGAAGAGCAAACUGGGAGAGGCAGAGACUGGGGACACUGAGGGAGCCUCCCCUGGGUGUCAGCAUCCACCCCCCAAGAUGCAGAAGGUUCUGCCCUAUUUCCUCAUUUGGGUUCCCUCAGAGCAAAACCAACAAAACAAAACUCUCCCUUUCACUUGAACUGUCUGCAUGGUCUGUCUUCCUUGAAAUCAAAAGAUUCUGGCCUGGGGAAAAAAGAACAUCUCUAAUACACUGCACAUGUUCCUGGCACGUGUGACAAAGGAGGCCACCAGAAGCAGAGGAACUUCAGAGUCACUUGAGACUGAGGAAGAUGUGGAGUUUGAACUGAGCCUUGAAGAUUUCAAGAAGCACUGACAGAAGAGGAAGGCAUUCCAAGCCGGGUCUUGUGUGGGGAAGGACGUGGAGGCAGUAGAGAGACAGCGAGUGCUGCUUGGCCUGCAGGGUCCAAGUAGGGAAGUGGCUGGAAAGCUAAGUGAGGACCGGACGGGAAAGUCCUAUAGAGCAGCCUGAGCAGUGCCCAAGCAGCUGAAGGAUUUUGAGCAGGAAGAUGGCAUGAUCAGAGCUGGCACUGGAUGGUUAUUCUGGGGUAAAUGUAGCUAGGGAACUGUAACUCCUUAUUCUUAGGGGCAUGUUAGGGAUGGAAUUUUGGUUCUGAAAUGCACCCCUAUGUCUUAUGUCAUUUCUACCUCGUGGAUGAAGUUUUGAUUUGUAAGUUAUUUUAUACUGUCUUUGGAAAGGAUUGUCUUUGCCAGGGGAUUUAUUUUUAUAUUUCCUGAGCCCUUCCUUCAGAUAGCUUAUAUUUUAGUUGAGAGACAAGACUAGAACACGUGAAAGAACAAUACAAAGCAAAAUGCAAGAUUCAGUUCAGACUAGAAGUUCUUGAGGACAACUGAGGAGAGGGACAACAAUGUGGUGCUAAAUGAAAGUCUCAGGAAAAUCCCCAAAUGGGGCACCUCCAGGAAUUGAGAACUAAGGGGAUUAGUAGAGAGAUAGUGACUAUUGCUCUUAAGCAAGGAGUUGUGGACACCCUUGUUUGCCUGCUAAGUAUCCUAUGUGCCCUUCCACUUUCCUGUUAGAACUUAGAUUUUGUAGGCCAAGUGACGCAGGGGGAAGCUGACCCGUGACUCCACAAACCACGACUCUAGGAGUGAGUCCUGAUCAGUCUAAAUAAACUCAUCUUGCUGAUGCCACCUCUCCUUGCCAGUGAUUGGUUCAGGGAUCCAGGUGUAAGCCAAUAAGGGCUUCUAUUCUUCUG
ensembl:lncRNA